GUCUCCAGGAAUGUGGUUUGUUGAAUUUGCAAAUCAGGAUGCUGGUACAAAAAAAAUUCAUAAAAAUAAACAAGAAGGUAGAUGCAAAAAUUGAAAGGGUGAAUAAAAACGGAAAA